UACGUAGGGUGCAAGCGUUAAUCGGAAUUACUGGGCGUAAAGCGUGCGCAGGCGGUUCUGUAAGACAGAUGUGAAAUGCCCGGGCUUAACCUGGGAACUGCAUUUGUGACUGCAAAGCUAGAGUGUGUCAGAGGGGGGGUAGAAUUCCACGUGUAGCAGUGAAAUGCGUAGAUAUGUGGAGGAAUACCGAUGGCGAAGGCAGCCCCCCUGGGAUAAGCACUGACGCUCAUGCACGAAAGCGUGGGGAG
rnacentral:rRNA from 1 species